UCCGGUUGAUCCUGCCGGACCCUACUGCUAUCGGGAUGGGACUAAGACAUGCUAGUCGUGCGCCUCCCCAUGGUGGAGGCGCGGCGCACAGCUCAGUAACACGUGGUUAACCUGCCCUUGGGACGGAAACACCCGGGAAACUGGGGCUAAUUUCCGAUAGGUGAAGGCUCCUGGAAUGGAUCUUCGCCUAAAGGGCGCUUAGGCCAUGCUUCUAGGUGCCCAAGGAUGGGGCCGCGGCCGAUCAGGUUGUUGGUGAGGUAAUGGCUCACCAAGCCUUUAACCGGUUCGGGCCGUGGGAGCGGGAGCCCGGAGAUGGGCACUGAGACAAGGGCCCAGGCCCUACGGGGCGCAGCAGUCGCGAAAACUCCGCAAUACGCGAAGGCAUGACGGGGCUAUCCCGAGUGCCGUCCGCUGAGGAUGGCUUUUCCCUAGUGUAGAUAGCUGGGGGAAUUAGGAGAGGGCAAGUCUAGUGCAGCCGCCGCGGUAAUACCAGCUCUCCGAGUGGUGGGGGACGUUUUAUUGGGCCUGAAGCAUCCGUAGCCAGCUGAGCAAGUCCCCAGUUUCCAGCUUUAAUCGUUGGACUGCUGGGGAUACUGUCCGGCUAGGGGGUGGGAGAGGCCGACGGUAUUCCCGGGGUAGGGGUGAAAUCCUAUAAUCCCGGGAGGACCACCAGUGGCGAAGGCUGUUGGCUAAAACAUGCCCGAGGUGAGGGAUGAAAGCUGGGGGAGCGAACCGGAUUUACCCGGGUGGUCCCAGCUGUAAACGAUGCAGGCUAGGUGUAGGGCGGCCACGUGCCGCUCUAGUGCCGGAGGGAAGCCGUUAAGCCCGCCGCCUGGGAAGUACGGUCGCAAGGCUGAAACUUAAAGGAAUUGGCGGG
rnacentral:rRNA from 1 species